rnacentral:rRNA from 1 species
UAGGGAAUCUUCCGCAAUGGACGAAAGUCUGACGGAGCAACGCCGCGUGAGUGAAGAAGGAUUUCGGUUCGUAAAACUCUGUUGUUAGGGAAGAAAAAAUGUAUAGUAACUAUAUACAAAAGAGACGGUACCUAACCAGAAAGCCACGGCUAACUACGUGCCAGCAGCCGCGGUAAUACGUAGGUCCCGAGCGUUGUCCGGAUUUAUUGGGCGUAAAGCGAGCGCAGGCGGUUAGAAAAGUCUGAAGUGAAAGGCAGUGGCUCAACCAUUGUAGGCGUUGGAAACUGUUUAACUUGAGUGCAGAAGGGGAGAGUGGAAUUCCAUGUGUAGCGGUGAAAUGCGUAGAUAUAUGGAGGAACACCGGUGGCGAAAGCGGCUCUCUGGUCUGUAACUGACGCUGAGGCUCGAAAGCGUGGGGAGCGAACAGG